GACGAACGCUGGCGGUGUGCUUAACACAUGCAAGUCGAACGGUAAGGCCCUUUCGGGGGUACACGAGUGGCGAACGGGUGAGUAACACGUGAGUAACCUACCCUCAUCUCUGGGAUAACAGUCGGAAACGGUUGCUAAUACUGGAUAUGAGCCUGCAAGGCAUCUUGUGGGUUGGAAAGAUUUUUUGGUUGGGGAUGGACUCGCGGCCUAUCAGCUUGUUGGUGAGGUAGUGGCUCACCAAGGCUUCGACGGGUAGCCGGCCUGAGAGGGCGACCGGCCACAUUGGGACUGAGAUACGGCCCAAACUCCUACGGGAGGCAGCAGUGGGGAAUAUUGCACAAUGGACGGAAGUCUGAUGCAGCAACGCCGCGUGCGGGAUGACGGCCUUCGGGUUGUAAACCGCUUUCAAUUGUGACGAAGCUUUUUGUGACGGUAGCAGUAGAAGAAGCACCGGCUAACUACGUG
rnacentral:rRNA from 1 species